rnacentral:rRNA from 1 species
GACGAACGCUGGCGGCGUGCCUAAUACAUGCAAGUAGAACGCUGAAGAGAGGAGCUUGCUCUUCUUGGAUGAGUUGCGAACGGGUGAGUAACGCGUAGGUAACCUGCCUUGUAGCGGGGGAUAACUAUUGGAAACGAUAGCUAAUACCGCAUAACAAUGGAUGACACAUGUCAUUUAUUUGAAAGGGGCAAUUGCUCCACUACAAGAUGGACCUGCGUUGUAUUAGCUAGUAGGUGAGGUAACGGCUCACCUAGGCGACGAUACAUAGCCGACCUGAGAGGGUGAUCGGCCACACUGGGACUGAGACACGGCCCAGACUCCUACGGGAGGCAGCAGUAGGGAAUCUUCGGCAAUGGGGGCAACCCUGACCGAGCAACGCCGCGUGAGUGAAGAAGGUUUUCGGAUCGUAAAGCUCUGUUGUAAGUCAAGAACGAGUGUGAGAGUGGAAAGUUCACACUGUGACGGUAGCUUACCAGAAAGGGACGGCUAACUACGUGCCAGCAGCCGCGGUAAUACGUAGGUCCCGAGCGUUGUCCGGAUUUAUUGGGCGUAAAGCGAGCGCAGGCGGUUUGAUAAGUCUGAAGUUAAAGGCUGUGGCUCAACCAUAGUUCGCUUUGGAAACUGUCAAACUUGAGUGCAGAAGGGGAGAGUGGAAUUCCAUGUGUAGCGGUGAAAUGCGUAGAUAUAUGGAGGAACACCGGUGGCGAAAGCGGCUCUCUGGUCUGUAACUGACGCUGAGGCUCGAAAGCGUGGGGAGCGAACAGGAUUAGAUACCCUGGUAGUCCACGCCGUAAACGAUGAGUGCUAGGUGUUGGAUCCUUUCCGGGAUUCAGUGCCGCAGCUAACGCAUUAAGCACUCCGCCUGGGGAGUACGACCGCAAGGUUGAAACUCAAAGGAAUUGACGGGGGCCCGCACAAGCGGUGGAGCAUGUGGUUUAAUUCGAAGCAACGCGAAGAACCUUACCAGGUCUUGACAUCCCGAUGCUAUUUCUAGAGAUAGAAAGUUACCUCGGUACAUCGGUGACAGGUGGUGCAUGGUUGUCGUCAGCUCGUGUCGUGAGAUGUUGGGUUAAGUCCCGCAACGAGCGCAACCCCUAUUGUUAGUUGCCAUCAUUCAGUUGGGCACUCUAGCGAGACUGCCGGUAAUAAACCGGAGGAAGGUGGGGAUGACGUCAAAUCAUCAUGCCCCUUAUGACCUGGGCUACACACGUGCUACAAUGGUUGGUACAACGAGUUGCGAGUCGGUGACGGCAAGCUAAUCUCUUAAAGCCAAUCUCAGUUCGGAUUGUAGGCUGCAACUCGCCUACAUGAAGUCGGAAUCGCUAGUAAUCGCGGAUCAGCACGCCGCGGUGAAUACGUUCCCGGGCCU